UUCUGAUCUGAUCUUCUCUUGAUCUUCUCUUGAUGAGGCUGAUCAUCAUACCAACCUUUGGGCUCUGUUGUUUAUUCCUUCAGCAAGUGCGAACAUUUACCAUUCUGGCCCUUUGGCCCCCCUGGUCCAGGGGGGAAGAAGGGGUGACUACACGGUCCAUGAACAGCCACCCCUCCCAAGACCAUCUUAAUGAUUUUCCAAGGACACACCAAGGGAGUCCUGUGGCAAAUCAGCCCUUAUUUCUGGCUUGUGGCCACAAGUCAUGGGGUCAUACUUGAAAGACUUCCUCAAACCCUGCAAGUCAUCACUCUGGAGGCUUCUGCCUGAAUUAGAAGCAGGGACUGUUUCCUCCAUGUUGCCGAUGGGGAGAGCUAUAAUGGGUCCUGAUUUCCAGGGGAGCUAUUUAUCAAUGUAUUUCAAAAGCCUUGAAAGCACACAUUCCUUUUACCCAUCAAUGUCGCGUGAUGGAAAUAGACAAACAUGCAGAAAUGCAUAUACAAGGUGUACCAAGGCAUUAUGUGGAACAGCAAAACAUCAAAGCCAACCAAGAUGCCCACCAGUAGGGUCUUGAUGAAAUAGAAAAUGGAUCCAGUGUGAGAGUACUACAUAGUCAUUAAGAAUAAUGUAGCUCUCCAUUUACCUGUAUAUAAAGACAGCCUCAAAGCAGCCCAUGAAGGAAAUUCCACUCCAUAGUCACCAGGGAUCACAAAAUAAAUCCAUCAUUAGUGCCACUACACACCUACUAGAAUACCCUUAAUGAAAAAGAGUAGACCAUAUCAAAUAUUGCCAAAGAAGUAGAGUCACUGGAAAUCACAUACAGUGCUUGUGGGAUAAUGAUUUUAGACAACAGUUUCUUAAAAAGUUAAACAUACACUUACCAUGUGAUUCAGCCAUUCCACUCCAGGGUAUUUACCCAAGAGAAAUAAUAGCACAGGUCCAUACAAAAACAGAUACAAAAAUGUUUACAGCAGCUUUAUCUCUAACAGCCCCAAACUGGAAACAAACCCAAAGGUCCAUCACCAGGUGAAUGGAUAAACAAACCGGUAUAUUCACACGAUGGGACACUACUUACCAAUAAAAAGAAAGGAACUAUCAAUCCACACAAUAGGGAUGAACCUCAAAAUAAAAGAAGCCAGACAAAAAAGAAAACACAGUGUGUGAUUCCGUUUAUAUAACAUUCUAGAAAAUACAAACUAAUCUGUAGGACAAAAAAGCAGGAUCAGGGUUUACUGGUGUGUGUGUGUGUGUGUGUGUGUGUGUUUGAGGGAGAGGGUGGCAGGAGGGAUUCCAAAACGGCAUAAGGAAACUUUCAGGAGUGAUAGAUCAGCUUGUCGUUGUGAAUGUGGUGAUGGGGGUACACAUAUGUUGAAACCCAUACGCUUUAAAUAUGUACAGUUGAUUGCAUGUCAAUCAUACUCCAAUAAAGCUAUAUUUUAGGAAAGGUGGCCUCUUAAAAAAAAAAAAUCAGGUUCCAGCUGUAUAUACAGUCUGACUUCCUUUCCGGGGGCGUGGGGGUGUGCGGGGAAAGCCUUUGUGUGUGUGAUUUACUGGGUGACAGAUCGGACGUGAAGUAGACUUUUCUUUAAACUCUUCUGUGUCUGCGUACAACCACACGUCUGAAUUUAUGUUUAUAAUAAGUAAAACAAUUUCCAUUUCGCAAAAGGAAAACCAAACAAGAGCCCUACGCAGGGCCUAGCUCCUCCCCCCCCCCCCCCCCCCCCCCCGGUCCUCUCCAGCCGGAGCCGAGGCACCCGUUGACCCAGACUCCAGGGCUUCCUGUGAACUGGUCCCCACGCACAGCGGCCCCAAGGGCAGUGACGAGAGCAGCCCUGCAGAUGCUUCCCGGAAGGCCUCGGGGGUCAGCCUGAGCUAGACGGGCGCAUGUUAUGUGUGAAGUCGGAGGAGCAGGGGUGAAGGGCGGAGGAGAAUGUCUACGCAGCACGGUGGGUAGGAACUCGGGCUGUGGGAUCCACCCUGCCUGGACGGUGGAGUCACGCUCCAUCACGACCGACGACCCAUGUGACCCUGGGUGUGGUAUCCUUGGUCUGUGCCUCUGCUUCCUCACCUGUGAAAUGGAUAUACAUCAUGGGGUCUUGUGAUGAUUAAAAGAGUUCACAUGAAGAAAACCCAAGGUCAGUGCCUGGGGCACAUACAGUAAGCGUUCAGGGAAACAUCUGUCACCUGUGGUGUUGGAAAAGGAGAGGUCAGGACACCAGCAGCUGCCCAGUCUGGGGAUGACUCUGCUGAGCCCAGAGUGGUGGCCCCGAGCAUGUGCGUUUGUGCUCACUGCCCUGCAGGACCUAAUGGGCCUGAAGCCCUGACCUGUGGAAGGGUUGCUGACAGUCUGUGCCCCUGUUCAUUUGUUCCUUCCCUCCUGCAUUCAGCACUCACUUACUGUCCCCCUCCCUGACGUGCUAUUGCCCUGGGGUCAGUGGGGGUGGGGAGGGGGACAGAAGUAAACUCUUCUGUGAAAUGGGGAUGAUGAUUAUCUAAGCCUGCUUGGGCUGUUUUCACAAAAUACCCCGGACUGGGUUGUUUAUAAACAACAGAAAUUUAUAUCUCACAGUUCUGGAGGCUGGAAGUCCAAGGUCAAGGAGACAGUAGAUUGGGUGUCUGGCAAGAGUCUGCUUCUUGGUUCCCAGACAGCCAUCUUUGGGCAGUGUCCUCCUGUGGCGCAAUGUGGGAGGGACUCCUGGGGUCCCUUCAUAAGGGCACUGUUCCCAUUCACGGAGGCUAUGCCCUCAUGACCUAAUCACUUCUGAGGGGCCCCCAAACCGUAAUGCCAUCACCUUGGUGGUGAGGAUAUCAACAUAGGAAUUUGGGGGGGACAUGUUCUGUCUCUAGCAAUGAUAUAACCACGGCUGCAGGCUGUGGGCACUUGAGGGGAUCUUGGGAACACAGUGCUUAGCCCAGGGCAUGGGCCCCCAGGGUGAGGUCAACAAACAGAAGCUAUUGUUUAGAAAGAGAAGUCA